AUUCCUAAGAGAACCUUAUUGUUAACAUAUAAACACACCAUCACCUUUUAAUCUGGGGAGUAGUAUUAUCUUUAAGGGCCUGAGGCUGAACUUUAUUUAAACAUUGAAGAAUUUACAUAUCAGCUCAAAGAAAACAGAGCUAGAAUUUACAGGGUCAGCUCUCAAGAAAAACAGAACUGGAACUCUAUACAUUGCCUCAGAUAGCACACUGAUUACACGACCCUCCAGGGAGAACCCUAUACUCCAAUACUCUCACAGCAAGGAGAAAAAAGCAGGAACAUGAUUCUGAAAGAAAAUGAAACUGGUUAGUAGAAAGCAUGGCCGCAGCUAUUCUGCCAUCUAUAGACACUCCACAAUACAGGCAAAUGCAACUAAUUUUAUUUGUUCUAAGCAGGCGAUUAGGUGCGCAGAAGGAUGCAUGGCACAUCAUUUAUCAAAAAUAUGUUUUCUUCGAGAAGCCCAACUGAUUUGCUCUGUGCCUUUGAGAGCUGUUGAACAGCAACAUCAAAUGGAAGAGUAGCCUCCGGAAGUCAUGCGUUGCAACUCAAAUAGGAACAAAACAUUAUUCCUGGGAUAAACUCCCAGAAAGAAUUUGGAAGCAAAAUCAAAUUUCCUUUACUCGCUAAUUUUGGUCUACACAAGAGAUCAAUUAAACCAAUAUACUGUAUUUUUUCUGUUCUUUAUCAGGCCUUCAUUGGCAUGUCUACAUGGACCAACAAGAAGCACAUCUGGAAACGGGCUGCUAGUAGUGCUUGUUUGCUAAAGAAAUGUUAAGCAUGAUUCAGGAAUAAAAUCACCUUUUUAAUUGCUCUAAACCUUAAUUUUAGAGCGUGGAAUAGUUGCCCACUCCGCCAUUCACCGCUGCAGUCAGCGAGUCACCUCCUCUAUGCUUGCCCAUUGGUGGUUGAUUUCAGGGCCACGUUGGGGUUCCGGUCACCUUCCGUGGCCUCUGUCCGCAAUCUGCCAGAU
rnacentral:lncRNA from 1 species